GGUUGAGAACGCGGACGUGAAGGAGAGCACGCACGUCACGUCGAGAUCGUACAUCUCCAGUGCGAGCAGCCGCCAUUUUCUCAGCGUGAAAGAAGCCAGAAGCGAGUGAAAGACUAUGACUUGUCCAACUUGUAUCUUCAUUGUCCUCGCGCCGAGAGUUAAAGACACAGAAGCUGUUUGUGUGAGAGUCUCAGACUGUGAGGAGGAGGAGGUGAUCUUCUGAAGAGAGGGACAGACGGGUUUAAGGAGAGUAAACUUCAGAAUAACAUCAAGUUAUCUUUAUUUUUACUAAGACUAAAAUAAUGUUUGUUUUUGUAGAUGUUGAAAUCCAGAUACAAGAUAACUUCAUUCUUUUGAGACUGAUGUGAAACUCUAACUGGAGUUAAGGACCAAGAAGUCUGCUUGUGUGAGGAGGUUUUCUCAGCUUCUUCUGAAGAGAGGGAAAGAUAGUUUAAGAUGUUAAAAGCCAGAGACAUGGGAGAGCAUCAUUCUUUUGAGAUUUUAUAACUCAAACCAACUUUGGAGUUGUCUUGUCUGAUCUGGAGAGUCAUCAUUCUUGGUCUUCCCUCUUAAAGGCCACUGAUGAAGAGCAGGUGGUGUCUGGGAUGAAUGCUGGUCAAAGAAGAGAAUAUCCUUUCCCCUAAACUGAUGCACCAGUGGUUUUAAAGGAGGACGCUGCCCUGGAUGAUGUAGAAGAUGUCACAUGCUGUGCUGAUGGGGCUUCUUCAUGACUUCAUCAGUUUUGGUAAAGAGAUGAUGAAAAUUGACAGUGAUGCAUGAUCUGUAUUCAUGGACUAUGAAACAAGCUGUAAGUGUUUAAUUUGUAAAAACAAAAUGUUAAAUGCUUGUUCUGUGUUGUUUGGUAGAAAUGGAGUGUACU